rnacentral:tRNA from 1 species
GGAUCUAUAGCUCAGUGGUAGAGCACAUGUUUAGCACACACAAGGCUGUGGAUUCAAUCCCCAGUACCUCCA